GGUUGUUUGUCUGUCUCUGUGUUGCCCUGCGACAGACUGGUGACCUGUCCAGGGUGUACCCCGCCUCUCACCCAGAAUGUUAGGUGGAGAUGGGCAAUAGCACCUCCCGACCCCAUUAAGGGUGUACAGAAAAUGGAUGGAUGGAUGGUGAUUUAGUUUUCUUCGGAAUAUUUUAUUGUUUUUCCUACUUGUAGACCAAAGAUGCUGUUGCCAUAAGGACCUCUACUCUGGGAUGUCUCUCAGUUUUCCUCGACAACGAUGGAGGAGAGUUGUACAAUGUCUCUUGAUUCAGAUGCCAUGGCAGACUUCAUCCAGGUUCCUGUGUGGUUAUUGACUGUUAUGUUAUGCUAAGUAUAUCAUUUUGUUAAAAUAAAACGUUGAAUCUUGUAAAUUUAAAAUCUGUGCCUGUGGUAGGCUGAACUAUUUUGAAGUUUCUUGUUACUAAUUAAACACUGAC